CUUGGCGAUUAUAGUGUGGUGGUACCACCUGAUACCAUUCCGAACUCAGAAGUGAAACGUCAUUACGCCGAUGGUAGUACAAGUAAUUUGUGUGAGAGUAGGUCAUUGCCAAGU
rnacentral:rRNA from 1 species